GAUGAAGAACGUAGCGAAAUGCGAUAAGUAGUGUGAAUUGCAGAAUUCAGUGAAUCAUCGAAUCUUUGAACGCACAUUGCGCCCUUUGGUAUUCCAAAGGGCAUGCCUGUUCGAGCGUCAUUUGUACCCUCAAGCUUUGCUUGGUGUUGGGCGUCUUGUCUCUAGCUUUGCUGGAGACUCGCCUUAAAGUAAUUGGCAGCCGGCCUACUGGUUUCGGAGCGCAGCACAAGUCUCACUCUCUAUCAGCAAAGGUCUAGCAUCCAUUAAGCCUUUUUUUCAACUUUUGACCUCGGAUCAUGUAGGGAUACCCGCUGAACUUAAGCAUAUCAAUAAGCGGAGGA
rnacentral:misc_RNA from 1 species